rnacentral:rRNA from 1 species
UACGGAGGAUCCAAGCGUUAUCCGGAUUUAUUGGGUUUAAAGGGUGCGUAGGUGGAUUAUUAAGUCAGUGGUGAAAGCCUGCAGCUUAACUGCAGAACUGCCAUUGAUACUGAUGAUCUUGAGUAUAGUUGAGGUGGGCGGAAUGUGUCAUGUAGCGGUGAAAUGCUUAGAUAUGACACAGAACACCGAUUGCGAAGGCAGCUCGCUAAACUAUAACUGACACUGAGGCACGAAAGCGUGGGGAGCAAACAGG